rnacentral:miRNA from 9 species
CAGGCCAUAUUGUGCUGCCUCA